AGCAGCCGCGGUAAUUCCAGCUCCAAUAGCGUAUAUUAAAGUUGUUGCAGUUAAAAAGCUCGUAGUUGAACUUCGGGGUUUACUCAUUGGUCAGGCUUAAUUGUCUGUACUGGUGAGAUAAAUCUCUACCUUCUGAGGAACUUUCAUGCCAUUUAUUUGGUGUGAUUGGAAAUCAGGACUGUUACUUUGAAAAAAUUAGAGUGUUUAAAGCAGGCUAACGUCUGAAUACAUUAGCAUGGAAUAAUGAAAUAGGACGGAUUGAUUCUAUUUCGUUGGUUUCUAGGGUCACCGUAAUGAUUAAUAGGGAUGGUUGGGGGCAUUAGUAUUCAAUUGUCAGAGGUGAAAUUCUUGGAUUUAUUGAAGACUAACUACUGCGAAAGCAUUUGCCAAGGAUGUUUUCAUUAAUCAAGAACGAAAGUUAGGGGAUCGAAGACGAUCAGAUACCGUCGUAGUCUUAACCAUAAACUAUGCCGACUAGGAAUCAGACGAUGUUAAUUUUUAAUGACUCGUUUGGCACCUU
rnacentral:misc_RNA from 1 species